CCUCAACCAAAAUUAUUGUCAAGGAAAGAGAGAAAUUCAUAAGGAGAACAUGAGAUCGUAGACUGGAUCACUUGAAAGAGCUCAAGGACCCUGAGGACCCAAUAUGAAAUCAAUGUGAUCAUUUCUUUUGUAAUGAGCCACCCAGGCACAACUGGCCUUAGAGAGAGAGAUUGUCUUGUGGAAUUCUUGAGGCAUCUCAUAUCUUUAGCAUUUAGCAGCGUCUGGGUCCCCACUGAUGUGAUUGAUGAAUAGGU
rnacentral:lncRNA from 1 species